rnacentral:lncRNA from 1 species
CAGGACGUCGCGCCGGCGGUCGUCGCCGGCGGCGCCGCGGCGUCUCUCGCGCGCUCGAACGCGCCGUCCGCGGCCGCGGCGGCGGCGUACCUCGCGUCGUCGGCGUCCGCGGCGGCGGCGGCGGCGCGCGUCCGCGACAGGUGCGAUUCUCUCGCGGUGAACGUCAUCCUUCCGAAAUCCAUCGUCUCCGCGUCCGAGACCGCGGUCCCCGUCUCCGUCCUCCGCGACCACCGCGCGGCGGCGCUCGCGGCCUCGCGACGCAGCGGCAGCCCGGUGAUCUGACACAGAGAGCCGCGCGUGAACAUCAUCAGCUUCGCGCCGACGAAUUUCGCGCAGCGCGAGACGUCGAGCAGGAUGUGCUUCGCGUCCUCGUCGCGGUGACGGCCCCACAUGUGCAGUUGAAACGGCGACGGCGGAUGCGUUUCAUGUUGUUGUCGUCGCGCGCCACCACCACCGCGG